rnacentral:rRNA from 1 species
GACGAACGCUGGCGGCGUGCUUAACACAUGCAAGUCGAACGGAAAGGCCCUGCUUUUGUGGGGUGCUCGAGUGGCGAACGGGUGAGUAACACGUGAGUAACCUGCCCUUGACUUUGGGAUAACUUCAGGAAACUGGGGCUAAUACCGGAUAGGAGCUCCUGCUGCAUGGUGGGGGUUGGAAAGUUUCGGCGGUUGGGGAUGGACUCGCGGCUUAUCAGCUUGUUGGUGGGGUAGUGGCUUACCAAGGCUUUGACGGGUAGCCGGCCUGAGAGGGUGACCGGCCACAUUGGGACUGAGAUACGGCCCAGACUCCUACGGGAGGCAGCAGUGGGGAAUAUUGCGCAAUGGGCGGAAGCCUGAUGCAGCAACGCCGCGUGCGGGAUGACGGCCUCCGGGUUGUAAACCGCUUUCGCCUGUGACGAAGCGUGAGUGACGGUAAUGGGUAAAGAAGCACCGGCUAACUACGUG